rnacentral:rRNA from 1 species
AUACGUAGGUGGCAAGCGUUGUCCGGAUUUACUGGGCGUAAAGGAUGCGUAGGUGGAUAUUUAGGUGGGAUGUGAAAUACCCGGGCUCAACUUGGGCGCUGCAUUCCAAACUGGAUAUCUAGAGUGCAGGAGAGGUAAGUGGAAUUCCUAGUGUAGCGGUGAAAUGCGUAGAGAUUAGGAAGAACACCAGUGGCGAAGGCGACUUACUGGACUGUAACUGACACUGAGGCAUGAAAGCGUGGGGAGCAAACAGGAUUAGAUCCCCUGGUAGUCCACGCCGUAAACGAUGGGUACUAGGUGUAGGAGGGUCCAACCUUCUGUGCCGCCGUUAACACAAUAAGUACCCCGCCUGGGGAGUACGGUCGCAAGAUUAA